CACAAAAAAAAAAGUUUUAUUCUUCAACACUCUCCAAAAACUCAUAUGAUUAGAGUCCCCCCCCUGAUGAUUUUUUAUUCUUUCUUCUUUUUUUUCUACUUUUUCUUUG
rnacentral:ribozyme from 14 species